GCCCAGCUAGCUUAGUCAGUAGAGCAUGAGACUCUUAAUCUCAGGGUCGUGGGUUCGAGCUGCACGUUGGGCG
rfam:Danio rerio unplaced genomic contig CTG2784, GRCz11 reference primary assembly.